rnacentral:rRNA from 1 species
AGGACGAACGCUGGCGGCGUGCUUAACACAUGCAAGUCGAGCGAGGCCCUUCCUUCGGGGAGGUGCCCUAGCGGCGAACGGGUGAGUAACACGUGGGCAACCUGCCCCUAGCACUGGGAUAACUCCGGGAAACCGGGGCUAAUACCGGAUAUGACCUUUGAGGGCAUCCUCUUUGGUAUAAAGGACUCUGGCUAGGGAUGGGCCCGCGGCCUAUCAGCUUGUUGGUGGGGUAAUAGCCUACCAAGGCGACGACGGGUAGCCGGCCUGAGAGGGCGACCGGCCACACUGGGACUGAGACACGGCCCAGACUCCUACGGGAGGCAGCAGUGGGGAAUAUUGCACAAUGGGCGAAAGCCUGAUGCAGCGACGCCGCGUGAGGGAUGACUGCCUUCGGGUUGUAAACCUCUUUCAGCAGGGACGAAGCGAAAGUGACGGUACCUGCAGAGAAGCACGGCCAACUACGUGCCAGCAGCCGC